rnacentral:tRNA from 1 species
GUACCUAUGGCUCAGCUGGAUAGAGCGUAUGGCUACGGACCAUGAGAUCGGGGGUUCGAAUCCCUCUAGGUACACCA